rnacentral:rRNA from 1 species
AACGAACGCUGGCGGCGUGGAUAAGACAUGCAAGUCGAACGCUUGUUAUGGGGUAGCAAUAUUCUAUAGCAGGAGUGGCGGAAGGGUGCGUAACAUGUGGGUAAUCUGCCGUGAAGACUGGGAUAACUUGCUGAAAGGCGAGCUAAUACCGGAUGAGAUAGCCGAGAGGCAGCUUUUGGUUAUCAAAGUUGGGGACUGUAAAAGGCCUAACGCUUCAUGAUGAGCCCGCAACCUAUCAGCUAGUUGGUGAGGUAAAGGCUCACCAAGGCUAAGACGGGUAGCUGGUCUGAGAGGACGACCAGCCACACUGGAACUGAGAGACGGUCCAGACACCUACGGGUGCAGCAGUCGAGUAAUUUUCACAAUGGGCGCAAGCCUGAUGGAGCGACGCCGC